rnacentral:lncRNA from 1 species
CCGCCCCAUCUUCAAUGGACGGUACCUCAGAGAGCAUUGUCGAGACCGACAACGUCAAAAUCAGCUCAGGAUCCUACUGAAGCGAAAAUUCAGUGCAGGGGCAAAAUAGUAAUUUUCAAAUCUUUUCAAAAUUACUAUUUUACAGUAAAAUUAUUAAUUAAUCUCAUUAAUUAAUAUUAAUUAACCCUACACUAUGAUCUAAAUAUGAUACA